rnacentral:rRNA from 1 species
CAGCCGCCGCGGGAAUACGGGGGAUGCAAGUGUUAUCCGGAAUAAUUGGGCGUAAAGCGUCUGUAGGUGGUUUACCAAGUCUGUUGUUAAAAAUCAGGGCUCAACCCUGAUCCGGCAACAGAAACUAGUAGACUUGAGUACGGUAGGGGCAGAGGGAAUUCUCGGUGUAGUGGUGAAAUACGUAGAUAUCGAGAAGAACACCAAUAGCGGAAGCACUCUGCUGGGCCGAAACUGACAUUGAGAGACGAAAGCUAGGGGAGCAAAAGGGAUUAGAGACCCCCGUAGUCCCUGUCUCUUAUAC